UAGUAGAUGUGCUGCCAAACACACAUCUGUACUUUGUCACAAAGAAGCUCACAAGGAAACGGGCUUCAGCUUUUAGGGCCGGAGUCAGCGUGCGAGAGCCUGUGGAGCUGGUCACAAGGCGUGAAAAGUAAACCAGGACCCCCAGACAGCGUGACUCGCAGAGCAAUAGCUGUUUUCCUGGCCCCCGCGCCCUGCGUUCACAGCUGCUUCAAGCAUUUGACUGCAGGGGGCAGAGCAGAGCGGUCCCUGCCCUGGGCGACCCGAAUCCAGGCACCAGCCUUUUCCUGUCUAGAAGCAAGACCAAAUGUAAAGUGCAGACUCUGAAGCCGGACUACCCAGGUGCCGUUUCAUCCCCUCGGCUUUGCUGCUUUUGUCCUCGGUCAAGUUGCUCAACU
rnacentral:lncRNA from 1 species